rnacentral:rRNA from 1 species
CCCAGACUCCUACGGGAGGCAGCAGUGGGGGAUAUUGGACAAUGGGGGAAACCCUGAUCCAGCGACGCCGCGUGAGUGAAGAAGUAUUUCGGUAUGUAAAGCUCUAUCAGCAGGGAAGAAAGAAAUGACGGUACCUGAGUAAGAAGCCCCGGCUAACUACGUGCCAGCAGCCGCGGUAAUACGGAGGAUGCGAGCGUUAUCCGGAUUUAUUGGGUUUAAAGGGUGCGCAGGCGGAAGAUCAAGUCAGCGGUAAAAUGGAGGGGCUCAACCUCUGCGAGCCGUUGAAACUGGUUUUCUUGAGUGAGCGAGAAGUAUGCGGAAUGCGUGGUGUAGCGGUGAAAUGCAUAGAUAUCACGCAGAACUCCGAUUGCGAAGGCAGCAUACUGGCGCUCAACUGACGCUCAUGCACGAAAGUGUGGGUAUCGAACAGGAUUAGAUACCCCGGUACC